GGGAGAUAGCUGGUUCUCCCCGAAAGCUAUUUAGGUAGCGCCUCGUGAAUUCAUCUCCGGGGGUAGAGCACUGUUUCGGCAAGGGGGUCAUCCCGACUUACCAACCCGAUGCAAACUGCGAAUACCGGAGAAUGUUAUCACGGGAGGCACACGGCGGGUGCUAACGUCCGUCGUGAAGAGGGAAACAACCCAGACCGCCAGCUAAGGUCCCAAAGUCAUGGUUAAGUGGGAAACGAUGUGGGAAGGCCCAGACAGCCAGGAUGUUGGCUUAGAAGCAGCCAUCAUUUAAAGAAAGCGUAAUAGCUCACUGGUCGAGUCGGCCUGCGCGGAAGAUGUAACGGGGCUAAACCAUGCACCGAAGCUGCGGCAGCGACGCUUAUGCGUUGUUGGGUAGGGGAGCGUUCUGUAAGCCUGCGAAGGUGUACUGUGAGGUAUGCUGGAGGUAUCAGAAGUGCGAAUGCUGACAUAAGUAACGAUAAAGCGGGUGAAAAGCCCGCUCGCCGGAAGACCAAGGGUUCCUGUCCAACGUUAAUCGGGGCAGGGUGAGUCGACCCCUAAGGCGAGGCCGAAAGGCGUAGUCGAUGGGAAACAGGUUAAUAUUCCUGUACUUGGUGUUACUGCGAAGGGGGGACGGAGAAGGCUAUGUUGGCCGGGCGACGGUUGUCCCGGUUUAAGCGUGUAGGCUGGUUUUCCAGGCAAAUCCGGAAAAUCAAGGCUGAGGCGUGAUGACGAGGCACUACGGUGCUGAAGCAACAAAUGCCCUGCUUCCAGGAAAAGCCUCUAAGCAUCAGGUAACAUCAAAUCGUACCCCAAACCGACACAGGUGGUCAGGUAGAGAAUACCAAGGCGCUUGAGAGAACUCGGGUGAAGGAACUAGGCAAAAUGGUGCCGUAACUUCGGGAGAAGGCACGCUGAUAUGUAGGUGAAGUCCCUUGCGGAUGGAGCUGAAAUCAGUCGAAGAUACCAGCUGGCUGCAACUGUUUAUUAAAAACACAGCACUGUGCAAACACGAAAGUGGACGUAUACGGUGUGACGCCUGCCCGGUGCCGGAAGGUUAAUUGAUGGGGUCAGCGCAAGCGAAGCUCUUGAUCGAAGCCCCGGUAAACGGCGGCCGUAACUAUAACGGUCCUAAGGUAGCGAAAUUCCUUGUCGGGUAAGUUCCGACCUGCACGAAUGGCGUAAUGAUGGCCAGGCUGUCUCCACCCGAGACUCAGUGAAAUUGAACUCGCUGUGAAGAUGCAGUGUACCCGCGGCAAGACGGAAAGACCCCGUGAACCUUUACUAUAGCUUGACACUGAACAUUGAGCCUUGAUGUGUAGGAUAGGUGGGAGGCUUGGAAGUGUGGACGCCAGUCUGCAUGGAGCCGACCUUGAAAUACCACCCUUUAAUGUUUGAUGUUCUAACGUUGACCCGUAAUCCGGGUUGCGGACAGUGUCUGGUGGGUAGUUUGACUGGGGCGGUCUCCUCCUAAAGAGUAACGGAGGAGCACGAAGGUUGGCUAAUCCUGGUCGGACAUCAGGAGGUUAGUGCAAUGGCAUAAGCCAGCUUGACUGCGAGCGUGACGGCGCGAGCAGGUGCGAAAGCAGGUCAUAGUGAUCCGGUGGUUCUGAAUGGAAGGGCCAUCGCUCAACGGAUAAAAGGUACUCCGGGGAUAACAGGCUGAUACCGCCCAAGAGUUCAUAUCGACGGCGGUGUUUGGCACCUCGAUGUCGGCUCAUCACAUCCUGGGGCUGAAGUAGGUCCCAAGGGUAUGGCUGUUCGCCAUUUAAAGUGGUACGCGAGCUGGGUUUAGAACGUCGUGAGACAGUUCGGUCCCUAUCUGCCGUGGGCGCUGGAGAACUGAGGGGGGCUGCUCCUAGUACGAGAGGACCGGAGUGGACGCAUCACUGGUGUUCGGGUUGUCAUGCCAAUGGCACUGCCCGGUAGCUAAAUGCGGAAGAGAUAAGUGCUGAAAGCAUCUAAGCACGAAACUUGCCCCGAGAUGAGUUCUCCCUGACCCUUUAAGGGUCCUGAAGGAACGUUGAAGACGACGACGUUGAUAGGCCGGGUGUGUAAGCGCAGCGAUGCGUUGAGCUAACCGGUACUAAUGAACCGUGAGGCUUAACCUU
rnacentral:rRNA from 1 species